CAUGGAGAACUGUUACUGAGGAGAGAUCCAUUUGUUGGGAUGUAAGUUAAAAAAGAAUGAAUCAAGAUAAAACCUCUAAAUGCAAGUACCAGAAAAAUUACAACACAUCUUGGUGAAUUUCCAAUUGGGUCGUCUUCCUGGUGGGGCGGCAGGCAGUUGUAGGACUGCAAAAUGGGUCUCCGGAUUCACUUUGUGGUUGACCCGCAUGGUUGGUGCUGCAUGGGCUUGAUUGUCUUUGUCUGGUUAUACAAUAUUGUCUUAAUUCCCAAAAUUGUCCUCUUUCCUCACUAUGAAGAAGGACAUAUUCCGGGCAUAUUAAUAAUAAUAUUCUAUGGCAUUGCCAUAUUUUGUCUGGUUGCUUUAGUGAGAGCCUCAAUAACCGACCCGGGAAGACUCCCUGAGAACCCUAAGAUCCCACAUGGAGAACGGGAGUUCUGGGAAUUAUGUAACAAAUGUAAUUUGAUGCGACCAAAGCGUUCCCAUCACUGUAGCCGCUGUGGCCACUGUGUCAGGAGAAUGGAUCAUCACUGUCCUUGGAUUAACAAUUGUGUUGGUGAAGAUAAUCAUUGGCUUUUUCUGCAGUUGUGUUUCUACACAGAACUUCUUACUUCCUACGCACUGAUGUUUUCUUUCUGCCACUAUUAUUACUUUCUUCCGCUGAAAAAGCGUAACUUGGACCUCUUUGUUGUUCGACAUGAAUUGGCCAUAAUGAGACUAGCCGCCUUUAUGGGCAUUACUAUGUUAGUUGGAAUAACUGGACUUUUUUAUACUCAACUAAUUGGCAUCAUCACAGAUACAACAUCUAUUGAAAAGAUGUCAAACUGUUGUGAAGAAAUAUCGAGGCCCCGAAAGCCAUGGCAGCAGACCUUCUCAGAAGUUUUUGGCACUCGUUGGAAGAUCCUGUGGUUUAUUCCUUUCAGGCAGAGGCAACCACUGCGAGUUCCCUACCACUUUGCCAAUCACGUCUGAACAGAUGGAUGGUGGGCACAGAUGGGUCCUCGAUGCUGGAAGUGUGUUACAGGUUUUCUGAUAAUAGAACUACGACAGUCUUCAAGUCAAUUAAAAUCCACCCACCAAUCUUAGGCAUCAUAGUGUGCCCCAGGCUUUAUUUUAAUAGUGAUCUUGAUCCUGUUGGGGGACUAAUACAUGAUCUAUAUUUAAGUUUUAAAGCAUGUUUACUUUCAAAUUAGCUUUCCGCAGGGAUUUCUUUAAGUGCUUUUGUUAUUAAACCCAAAAGGCAAUGAUUGAGAUAAAAUAAUUGUACAUAAUUUUUUUUUUUAGUACUGACAAUGUUACAGAUUUCAAUUUAUGGGAAAUUUCAGAUGUUUAUUUAAAUAUUUCACUCUCAAGCAGUACUCACCAAAUCUGAAUUUAAUUUUUUGGGUUUACAAAAAUGGAUACACCUUAUGUUAUAUGUAAAUUUUCACUUUCAAAUGCAUAAUAAUUUAAAAAAUAAUACUGCCUUUUAUAUGUGCUGCAGGAUUUUUUUAAUGCAGCAUAGAAUUGAACAACAAACAAUAAAACAACAGAAACAACAGAAAAAGGGCAGUGUCUUCCUAGAAGUAGCUUUCUAAUUUUUCUGUUUUUCUCUUUACCAAAAACAAAAUAAAAAGGCCACUUAAGUAAAACAACUACCUACCUUAUUUUCAAGGAAAGAUUAAUUUUUUUCCAUAUGAACUCUUCCAUUUCUUUUCCCUAUACUGACCUAAUUGUUGGUUGUUGUUAAAAUAAUUGCUCCACGGUGAAAUUUUUGACCACGCGGGGAUGUAUUCUAUUUUACCCUACGAUUUUGAUGAGCAAAAAGGGUAGAGAAUUUGCAAUAAUUCCACAGAUACCUUUUCUAGUAUGGUUAUAUUAGAAUGCAUAUGUUUUUAAAAUGCUAGUGUAACUAGAUAAUAUAUAAUGUACAGUAUAAAGAGGAAUAUUGUGCUUUUGAAAAACAAAUAUAUAUGUUUUAUUUGACUACUAGUAGAUCUAAAAUCAUACACUCAAUGUUUAUAUGUAAUAGAUAUUGGUCAACUGAGAGUGAAAUUUUAUUUAUAGGAAGUUGCUAGUAAAAGUACCUCUAAUCACCCAGAUUGAAAUGAGAUUUUAAUUGGCCAACUAUAAAUUUGGAUUGAGGGACAUUUUGUACUUAACUACCUAAUGUUAGGAAAUGACCUUAAAAUAAGAAAACAUAAUGAUCGAUAUUUAUCAUUAGCUUAUACAAAUUUAAAUUGCUAAUGCUGAUGGUCUCUUGGAGAGCAUAGAAGAUUUGUGUGAAAAGGCAUUUAGCAUGCUUUGAAAAAAAUUCACUUUUACGUUUUUUUUCCAUGAGAAUACUGCAAAAUCCAUAUAUGCUUUUCAGCGAUUUAUGUCAUCACAGUCUUUCCCUUGAAGAGAAGACUAAAGGGGUCUUCUGUUCUUGGAACAUACCAAUAUUUUCCUUUUAGUUAGUUUGGAGAGUAAGGAAUCAAACCUGAGAAAUCAUGAAACAGGAUUUCUGUUGUCAGCCAGUUAACUCUACUGUAGUUAGUUCUUUCAGGAAUUAUAAAUAUCUUCUAAAAUAAUUGAAUAAGCUGUUUUCAGAGGUACAAAUACCAUUUCUUUCAUGUUCUGACUGCAUUGCUUAUUUAAAAAUUUGGAAGUGGCAGAUGAAAAUAUUUAUUGGUGCUGAUACGAUGCAUAGUAAAUUUAAUAUGAGAUGUAUAUUUAUAGAGCUUAAUGAACCACAAAAUUAGUAUGUUUGUGUCAGGCAGCUGGGUGGGGUUUUGUGCAGGCUAACAUAGUGACCACAUCUGGUCUGUUGACAGAACUUCUAGGGAAGUGACGUGUAGAUAUGUAGAUAGAUAACAGUGAAAUGCCUUAUGCUGUAUACAUUUCUGUCAAAUGAGAACCUUGAGAAAAAGUAAAGCCAACCGUAGAUCCCCUAAAGAGCUUUAUGGACAUAUUUAUGCUUCACAUAGUAGCAGUAGCCACCUUGAAAGGUAUAUACUGGAGAGAUUCCCAUUGCCAAUCUCUGCCUCCGUAAUGGGAGCCAGAGGUGGUCCUUUUCCCACUCUGAGGGUUUUUGUUUUUCUUAGAUUUACCACUUCUGGGCACAUUUUCUUCCCUCUUUUCUCUUUACCCUCCAUGUCCUGAUCCCUUUACCUGAUGCCUCACAAUUAUUGGGGUACAAACUGAUACACUAGGCAAGGCAUAUAUAUAUUUUGUUUGAAUGGCAGAAAUGCUACAUAUCAAUUAUAUAGGAAUCUAUAUUAAAGCAUAUAUAUAUAUAUAUAUAUAUAUAUACUUAUGCUGUAACUUUCAGUAUGCUCAAGUCAGCACACCUAGCUGUGUUUAUAAUUCUUGAGCGAUGACUUGAAGGAAACCAACUGGCAGUUUCCUAGGGAAUGCAUUAAGUCUAGUUGUGUUCUGUCUGCGCCCUCUUUUGGCUAACUGGUGUAAUUAUCCUGGCUCUAGAUCUUUACUACCCCACAGUUCAUUAUUGUAUAGCCUGUUUCUGAACAUGCCAGAGGUACAAAUUUAGGGGAAGUGUAAGUACAAAAAAUGUAAGAGUUUAUGAAAAUCAGUGCGUUCCUGUUACUGUCAGCAACGUCCAGAUCACACACACAUGAUAACUACUUUGCUUCAUCUAUGUAUAUUAUUAUACUUUUUAAAUUAUCAAUUAGAAAUUUAUAUCAGAUCAGGUUAAACAAAUGUAAACCGUUUCAUGAAUUUUAUUUUAAACCUUCUUUUGGCAAAUUAAGUGCUUAGAAUCAGGAAAGCCAUUACCUAAAAUUACCAUUACAAAACACAGAAACUUAUUGUAGUUAAUUGACAAGCCGGUAUCUAAUGUAUUUUAAUGGAAUAUCUAAAAAUAUACAUUUAGUUUUUUUAAUCUCAUUUUUGGAAUGAUAAUUUUACUAGCUCUGUUGCAUUAAAAUAAUAGAUUAAUAAUUCUUUCUAUAGUUCAUUCUUUUUUUUUAACCCCCUUUCAGGAUUAUAGCUAUAACUUUAGUACUCAUCAUAUUACAUACAUAUUUUGGAUAACCGUAAAAAUACCUAAUGAUGUUGAGCAUUAGAAAAUAGUUAUAAGCAGUGAAAUUACUGAUAUAUAUAUAUUUUGUUGUUGUUGUUGUUGAAGUUUUUCCUUAUAAACAUUCCAUUUUGUUUUAAGCAAAAUAUAUGCUAAAGAAUGCUUUAGAUCAGCAAUUCUUCAUUGGGCUUCUGGAAAUGAAGGAUUUUUAGCUCGAUAUUCUGAGUUAUACCUCUUGAACAGUUAUAUUUGUUGUUGUUCUCUUCUGUAAGCAUACAUGUUUAUGACCCCAAAAUUGUAGGCAAAAAUGGAGUUCAGAAUCCUCCGGACAGCAGGCAUCAGUUCAAGAACUUUUAGUAUUUUGUAACCAAGACUUCUGGUUUAAAAAUACGAAGCUAACUGGUGUUCCAUUAUAAGAAAAAUUCUAUUUUGCUUAAGAAUUUUAUUAAAAAUAUUUAAUGUAAGUUAUAACCAUAUUUAUAAUUUUAGCUAAUGCUUUAAUCGCUUAACAGAAGAAAGCAUAGUUUAAUAGUAAUGGAAGUACAGAACAUAAGCAUACAUAAUGCUCUAUGUAACAACUAAGUUAAAACUUCCCUCAGAUGGAACACAAGUGAAUUUUUGCUAAUGCUUAGAGGUAUUUUUCUCUAAGGAUGCUGACUAAUUAUAGCUAUUUCAUUAUUAGACUUUUUCAAGUCACUUCCAUAGAAGUAAUUAGUUGUGAAGGUGUGAUUUAGCCAAAAGGAUAUAUUAUUUCUGAAUGCUAAUCAUGAAGACUUAGGUUAGGACGACAUUUUGAACUAGGAAGUGUGAAGUAAUGUAGAGUAUGACCACACGGUUUCCUAUGUGUUAGAUCAUAGGGAAGCUCAUGCGUUCUCACAUAUGUUGCUGUAAAAUCGCAGUGUGUCCAGCCCUGGUGUACAAUGGCAUUAAUGUUAACAGAGCUGCUAGUCUCUCCCUGGACUUUUCUCUAGUCUCUGUGUCCCUUGUGCUUCAAGUAUAAAUAGAUUAUCUAGCUCAAGUUUACUAAACUAUAGCUGCUUUAUUAAAUAAAUUUUUAACAUCACCUCAAAUAUAAGUGGAUAUACCUAGAAUUUAUUUGGGGAAGCUUAUAUGUACAAAUAUUAAAUAAUUUAUUAAUAGAUACAAGUUUUAGACUUUUUUUUUUUUUUACCCAACCUAUUCUUGAUUUUGAAAAUGUAAGUAUUGGCAAGUGUAGUCAGUCAUGUGCAUUUAGUAUGUUCUACUUGCUAGUGUUAUUAACCAUAUAAUUAACAGCCGAAUGAGUGUAUUAUUUAAUGUCAUUUGUUACAACUGCUACCCUAAGAAUCAUCCUCAGAUUUUAUCUAUAAAUCAACCAUUUCACUAUGCUCUGAAUUUAGCCAUUUUCAAUUGAAUUCUAGAAUAUUCUUUAGUAGAAUGUGAGAAGCAAGUUGAAGCAAGUUGUUUAAAGUAUUUCGAAUCAAUGUUAUUAUUUUAUGUAUCAGUCAGUAUUUAGCAUUUCUGCCGCCUUUGGGAUAAUGAUGGUUUAAUUUCAGGAAAGUGUUUUCUCUGAUGUCUCCCUUCAUCAUCAUUGUGCAGUUUUUAACAACAAAAUUUACUGCAUUUUUGUCUGUUCUUCAGAUGUUGUAAUACUUCCUGCUAGUGCUAAUUUGAAACAGAAGUAACAGUGGUAUUUACAGUUCUUAAGUUGUUGAUAUUACUGGUAUUUUCCAUUAUCACUACAAAUAUUUUUAUUAUCAUAAGUCCUUUUCCCUUGUCCACCAUAGAGGGCAGAUACAAAUGAGUAUUGAGUAGCAAAAGUUGGAUAAAGAAAUUACAGAAACUUCUGCAGAUGGGGAGGAGGCUAGUAGAGACAUGGAUAAGCAGCGUCUCAGCAACAGGGUUGACUGGAGACAGUCCCUGUGACGUCAGGAAAUCCCCCGGUUCUAGUCAUCUUAGCCUUAUCUCUUGUUGCUAAUCAUUUUACUGUAAGAGUUGCUAAUGCACAUAAGCUUUUAGCUAGAGUUAUUUAUAUUGCUGAUUCUCAUGAGUUUGCCAGAUGCCUUUGAAAAAUUAUUUUAAAUUUUAAACGUCAUAAUUAUGUAGCAUAUGCUAACCUGAUGUGUUAUGAAUAAUGUGAAAGGUGUGGCUAUUGAAUGCAGAGGGGAAACGAAUAGGUUGUCGAAAGUUUGGAAAAACUGGGACCUUUUUUUACAAGCCACCUAUUGCAAAUAAAGGAUACAAAGUAUUAUAGUAAAUUUGCCACCAGAGGGAAAGUUAGCAAUUUGUGUAUAAAGGGUGAUUUUCACUUUACAAUUUGGGCUAUUUUGGAGUUCUUGUACCUCCGAGGUCACUUACCAAUUGGUAUUGUGAACACCUAUAACCUGUAAUGUAGCACUUACACAGUUGUUCAACACUUGCUUGGAUUUUUUUGGUAUUGAUAGCUUUAUAUAUAAGCAGAUGUGUGGACGAAACAGCAACAACAAAAGGUAUGACUGUUUUUGUGGUUUUGCUUGCCUAUUUGACCUAGUCCAGGGUUUAAUCACAUAGGCUGUUAACUAAAGGGAAAGGUUGUUCGCGUAUUGCCAGCUCUGUGUUCUUGCCAGUGUGCACUGGGUGAUCUUUCAACCUAUUGGUGCCUGAAGUUAGUGUUUUACAGCCUCAACAACUAAACAUCCUGGUGCUACUCACUUUAGCAUUGAGUGACAUUUUUAAUUCUUGUACCAAAGAAUUAUUUAUUUUAGUUUUUUUUUUUUUUUUGGUUGACUGGGACUUGGUUUCUCUCAUCCUUCUAAACAGUGUUCCUAAGAACAAUUUUGAUGAACACAUCUUAGUUUUUGCACACUGCUGCCUCAGUUUAAUUGGUUUUAAAUGUCUCUCAUUUGGACUUUUUUUUUAGGCAUAUUAGUAUGGUUUUUCAUUCUGUAUUUUAAUAUAGAUUGGCUACUUUAAAAGGUAGUUUAAUAGGUUGAGGUUACAAAAGAAAAUUGAACACUUUUCUCAAGACUGUAUUUUAUUUCUGCAGGAAUAAAUGAAAAAUAAUAAGAACUCUCCUUUUAUUUCUGUAAAUGAGCUAUACAUCUUAUUGAGCCCUUUUAAUGAAUGCUGAAACAAAAUGCUAAAAUGAAAAGCUAUAACGAGCUCAUUCUAAUUAUAAAUGAAGUAUUCUGCAUCUGUCUACAUAUGGGUAUGUGUGUGGGGGAUUAUUUUCCAAAUAAAAAUAAAAUUAACGAACACCUUAAAAAGUAUAUAUCUAUACACACACCACGCACACACACACUCACACACACACACACACACUCACACACAUUGCCUAAGAGGAUAUGCAGAUGCACCUUGAUUUAAGCAAAACUACUAAUAGAAAAAUUGAACUUCACCAACACACACCCACAAAAGAUGUCUGGAUAUUGUUACUCACUUUACAUGAAAAUUAGAGUAAGAUUAUUUUUAAAACUAAUUCUGCUUAGUGAUUCAUUUUACCAAAAAUGGGAAAAAAUGCCCUUUAGAAAUUCUUGUAAUUGUCCAAAUGUAGUACUGCUUUCUAUGUACACUCUGCGGGUUCCCUGUUUUUUCUUUUUCAACAAAUUUCCAAAACACUUUAGUGUCCUUAAAACUGCAACUGAAGUGGUUCAGAUUUCUGUCAAAAUGAUAACUGUUCAUGUAUUGGAAAAGUAGACAAUCACAUUUGAAAAUGUUUUACAUUAUUUUCAGUCAACUGAAAUCAAAUCUCUCCUUGGAUGUAGAUACAAUAUAUGGUUUUGCAGUGGUUUCUGAAUGGAAAAAAAGAGUCAAUUCUGAAACUUAAGUGGAAUAUGACAUAGAAUCAUUUGAAUUAUAUGUAGAAAUAAUAGAUGUACAUUCCAUUAGAGGUCAAAGGACAAUUUAUUUGUAACCAAAAUGGGAAGAAGCAACACUGUGUCAUUCUCUAAUAGUCAACAAUAUAUUUCCUAGAUUCUGUUGCUGCAAUAUUGGUUCUGAGUUAUUUGGCUUGUUUAUUACUUAAAUUACUGUGGCAGAAUGCAGUUACUUGUUCAAGUUAUUGGUAGUGAGAGUUCACCACUAUUUGUUGCCCUCCAGUGAUGAACAUUAAAAAGAAGUUCUACUUUAGCGUGGGUAGAACGAAACAACUACGAUGAAGAGCUUCUUCCACAAUCAGAGACAAGGAAGUUGCGAAUCUAACCGGGGGAGCACCUGAGCCGUUGGAGGGCUUUGAGCACAGGGUAGUAUCUCAAUCCCCCAGGGACAGGGGUGGAUUUGACAGAUGCUGUUUGUGGACAUAAAGGAUUGCAUGUGAGAUUCAUCUCCUCCCUGUAAAGAGCAUCUUCAAGUUGUCCUUUUACAAAUGAUAAAACCAGAUUCCGAAGUUCAGGGAUAUGUUGUACAAUAAAGUGGUAGAGCUGGGACAUAAACUAUAA